rnacentral:rRNA from 1 species
AUCGAUGAAGAACGCAGCGAAAUGCGAUAAGUAAUGUGAAUUGCAGAAUUCAGUGAAUCAUCGAAUCUUUGAACGCAUCUUGCGCUCCUUGGUAUUCUGAGGAGCAUGCCUGUUUGAGUGUCAUCAAUCUCUCAACUACAUCAAUCUUUCUGGUUUGGUGUAGCCUUUGGAUGUGGGGGUUUUAUUUUGCUGGCCUCUAUUAAAUGAGGUCAGCUCCCCUGAAAUUUAUUAGCGGUAUCUGAGCAGAGACCUACUACAGGUGUGAUAAAUUAUCUAUGCCUUGGUAAUGCUGCAUCAACAGAUUGUGCUGCUUCCAGUGAAUCAUUUGACAAAUUUGACCUCAAAUCAGGUAGGACUACCCGCUGAACUUAAGCAUAUCAAUAAGCGGAGGAAAAGAAACUAACAAGGAUUCCCCUAGUAACUGCGAGUGAAGCGGGRAAAGCUCAAAUUUGAAAUCUGGCAGUUCUCUUGACUGUCCGAGUUGUAAUCUAGAGAAGUGUUACCUGUGCUGGACYGUGUACAAGUCUUCUGGAAUGGAGCAUCAUAGAGGGUGAGAAUCCCGUCUUUGACAUGGACUACCAGUGCGCUGUGGUGCGCUCUCAAAGAGUCGAGUUGUUUGGGAAUGCAGCUCAAAAUGGGUGGUAAAUGCCAUCUAAAGCUAAAUAUUGGCGAGAGACCGAUAGCGAACAAGUACCGUGAGGGAAAGAUGAAAAGAACUUUGGAAAGAGAGUUAAACAGUACGUGAAAUUGCUGAAAGGGAAACGCUUGAAGUCAGUCACGUUGGCUAGAAAUCAGCCUUGCUUUUGCUUGGUGUACUUUCUGGUUUGACGGGUCAGCAUCGAUUUCUUUGACCAUUGGAUAAAGUCUUUGGGAAURUGGCAUCUUUGGAUGUGUUAUAGCCCAUUGUCGCAUACAAUGGUUGGGAUCGAGGUACUCAGCACGCUGCAAGGCCGGGUUUAGACCACGUUCGUGCUUAGGAUGCUGGCAUAAUGGCUUUAAUCGACCCGUCUUGAAACACGG